GUUUUUUACAGAAGGUCACGUAUGGAACAAAGAAACAGGACUUCUGUUGAAGACUUUUACAUUGAUGAUUCUGAUGAUGGGGAAGAGUGACAUUAUUGCGGCUCCUUUUCAGAGUGACAGUUUUCCAUUGGAAGAAGAGGAUCUUGCCACCAUUUUGACGAAUUUCCAAGAUUACCUUUCUGAUGACCAGGUGUCCACCAUUUGUGUCAGGAGGAAAAAGCUCCUGGAGAGUGCCAUUAAAGCAAUCUCAAGAGCCAGUUUCUGUUGGACCUAUUCACCACAAAUUGAGUUUGUGGGAGGUGAUGCACAUGAUUUGGGGGGCCCACAGCGAGAGUU